UGGGCGAUGGCUCAGCAAGUAAGGGCACUUGGCUGCUCAAACAUGAGGACCUGAGUUCAAAUCUCAGCACCCAG
rnacentral:tRNA from 1 species